AUUUGACUAGUAUUUUAAAGACAUCCACCUGGCUGCUAUGUUCGGCGUGCCCUCUGGGGGCCAGGGUGUAGGCAGGAAGCAGAGAAGCCCGCAGGAGCUUAUGUCAACAUCUAUGCAAGAGAUGGCACUGGCUUGACCCGGGAAGGUAGUGCGGAGGAAAGAAGGAAAAAGAUGACCUGGCCUCCUUGUAAACAUGUGAAUGGCAUACACAUACAGCACAUUUACUAGAAAAGAGGUCUAAGAGUUUGGAUGGCAAAUGAACUAGAAUCUCUGAAUUUAUGGGGUAGUUAGCCUGAGAGCAUCUGUGACAGUCUAAGUGGUGGCCCCCAUGGCACUGCUGUUUUUCUUCUCUAUUCUGUUGCUAGUAAUGUUUUCUUCAUCCCUGGACACCUGUCAGCUACUGAUGAAGUGAACUGGCUCAAGAAAGGGCUGGACCUUGUUAAUUGCAUAGAAAAAACUAUCAAGAUGGUUGAAAUCAAAUGCAAAGAGGCAACAUCAAACAAGACCUAAAAAAAUAAAAAAUAAAACAAUAAACAAUCAAACAAAAAAACGAGCAACAGAC